GACGAACGCUGGCGGCGUGCCUAAUACAUGCAAGUAGAACGCACAGUUUAUACCGUAGCUUGCUACACCAUAGACUGUGAGUUGCGAACGGGUGAGUAACGCGUAGGUAACCUGCCUGGUAGCGGGGGAUAACUAUUGGAAACGAUAGCUAAUACCGCAUAAUAUUAAUUAUUGCAUGAUAAUUAAUUGAAAGGUGCAAUUGCACCACUACCAGAUGGACCUGCGUUGUAUUAGCUAGUAGGUGAGGUAACGGCUCACCUAGGCGACGAUACAUAGCCGACCUGAGAGGGUGAUCGGCCACACUGGGACUGAGACACGGCCCAGACUCCUACGGGAGGCAGCAGUAGGGAAUCUUCGGCAAUGGACGAAAGUCUGACCGAGCAACGCCGCGUGAGUGAAGAAGGGUUUCGGAUCGUAAAGCUCGGUUGUAAGAGAAGAACGGGUGUGAGAGUGGAAAGUUCACACUGUGACGGUAUCUGACCAGAAAGGGACGGCUAACUACGUG
rnacentral:rRNA from 1 species